AUGGGGCUGCCUGGGGCCCAUAUACACUCCCUGGCACCCCCGAAAGGCCCAGGGAAGGCGGGAGACCCCUUCAGUGGGAGGGAUGGGGCAUGUGGGGGAGCCGCCCAGCUUCCUGAGCACAGGCUCCUGAGCACAGGCAUAAAUCUACCUGAUUUGCUUUGCACACAGAGGCUUCCUCGGAUGAUGGGGGCCUGGCUCUGCUUGGGUAAGCCGAGUCACAGUCCCAGGGAACGGGCGCCACCUGCUGGAUCUCCGGUGUGUGACGCUCCCUGUGACAGGCCAGGAACACGGAGGAAGUACCAUCGGGGAGACACGUGCAGCUGGAACAUCCUGGAUGAGACACAGGCCGCAUCAGUGGUGCAGCGCAUCAGGCCCUGGCGCACACUCAGGGCUGAAGCAUACAUCCUGCCAAUGCAGUCACUGCUGAACAUGACACAGUACUCUGCGGGGACCCUGGCCACCCCCCACCAGGACCCAGCCUCGAUGGGACUAGGGUGGCAGCAAAGAUGA
rnacentral:lncRNA from 12 species